rnacentral:rRNA from 1 species
UACGUAGGGGGCAAGCGUUGUCCGGAUUUAUUGGGCGUAAAGAGCUCGUAGGUGGUUCGGUAAGUCAGGUGUGAAACCUCCAGGCUCAACCUGGAGACGCCACUUGAUACUGCUGUGACUGGAGUCCGGUAGGGGAGCGUGGAAUUCCUGGUGUAGCGGUGAAAUGCGCAGAUAUCAGGAGGAACACCAGCGGCGAAGGCGGCGCUCUGGGCCGGUACUGACACUGAGGAGCGAAAGCGUGGGUAGCAAACAGG